rnacentral:rRNA from 1 species
GGGGGGGGGGGGGGGGGGGCCGGGGGCGUGCAGGGGGGGGGGGCGGGCGAGGAGCGUGCUGCUCGGACGUUAGCGGCGGGCGGGUGAGUAGCACGUGGAUAACCUCCCUAUCAGACUGGGAUAACUUCGGGGACCCGGCGCUAAUACCGGAGAAUAUAUGGAACCGCAUGGCUCAAUAGUGACAGACGUUUUUGCUGUCCCUUAUAGACGGAUCCGCGCCGCAUUGGCGAGUUGUGUGGGUAACGGCUCACCAAGUGACCGAUGCGUAGCCGACCUUAGAGAGUGAUCGGCACCACCGGAGCUGAGACACGGUCCAGACUACUACGGGAGGCAGCAGUAGGGAAUCUUCCGCAAUGGGCGAAAGCCUGCCGGAGCAACGCCGCGUGAGUGAUGAAGGUCUUCGGAUCGUAAAACUCUGUUAUUAGGGAAGAACAAAUGUGUAAGUAACUAUGCACGUCUUGACGGUACCUAAUCAGAAAGCCACGGCUAACUACGUG